GUGGAGGUGAUGACACUUUUAAACUUUGACUGUCUGUGAUGUUCAAGUAUUCAUACUGUCUGAUCCAC